UACAGAGGUGGCAAGCGUUGUUCGGAAUUACUGGGCGUAAAGGGCGCGUAGGCGGUUCGUUAAGUCCUGUGUGAAAUCCCCCGGCUCAACUGGGGAACUGCACAGGAAACUAGCGGGCUUGAGUUCGGGAGAGGGAAGCGGAAUUCCGGGUGUAGCGGUGAAAUGCGUAGAUAUCAGGAGGAACACCGGUGGCGAAGGCGGCUUUCUGGACAGAAACUGACGCUGAUGCGCGAAAGCUAGGGGAGCAAACAGG
rnacentral:rRNA from 1 species